rnacentral:rRNA from 1 species
UAGUCCACGCCGUAAACGAUGUCUACUAGCCGUAGGGUUCCUUGAGGACUUUGUGGCGCAGCUAACGUGCUAAGUAGACCGCCUGGGGAGUACGGCCGCAAGGUUAAAACUCAAAUGAAUUGACGGGGCCCGCACAAGCGGUGGAGCAUGUGGUUUAAUUCGAUGCAACGCGAAGAACCUUACCAGGUCUUGACAUCCAGAUAAUUUAGCAGAAAUGUUUUAGUGCCUUCGGGAAAUCUGAGACAGGUGCUGCAUGGCUGUCGUCAGCUCGUGUUGUGAAAUGUUGGGUUAAGUCCCGCAACGAGCGCAACCCUUAUCCUUGUUUGCCAGCGAGUAAUGUCGGGAACUCCAGGGAGACUGCCGGUGAUAAACCGGGAGGAAGGUGGGGACGACGGUCAAGUCAUCAUGGCCCUUACGAGUAGGGGCUACACACGUGCUACAAUGGGCGCAUACAGAGGGGCAGCAAGCUAGCGAUAGUGAGCGAAUCCCAAAAAGU